rnacentral:rRNA from 1 species
AUUGAACGCUGGCGGCGUGCCUUACACAUGCUAGUCGAACGGUAACAGGUCUUCGGAUGCUGACGAGUGGCGAACGGGUGAGUAAUACAUCGGAACGUGCCUAGUAGUGGGGGAUAACGACUCGAAAGAGUGGCUAAUACCGCAUGAGAUCUACGGUUGAAAGCAGGGGAACGCAAGACCUUGUGCCAGUAGAGCGGUCGAUGGCAGAGUAGGUAGUUGGUGGGAUAAAAGCUUACCAAGCCGACGAUCUGUAGCUGGUCUGAGAGGACGAUCAGCCACACUGGGACUGAGAGACGGCCCAGACUCCUACGGGAGGCAGCAGUGGGGAAUUUUGGACAAUGGGCGCAAGCCUGAUCCAGCAAUGCCGCGUGCAGGAUGAAGGCCUUCGGGUUGUAAACUGCUUUUGUACGGAACGAAAAGCCCUGGGUUAAUACCCUGGGGUCAUGACGGUACCGCAAGAAUAAGCACCGGCUAACUACGUGCCAGCCGCCGCCGUAAAAC